rnacentral:lncRNA from 1 species
GGAGUUCCCCCAGCUGAGGCUGAUGUUGGCAAACGGCAUCACCAGCAGGGCUGUGAAAAGGGAAGCAAAACAGGCACCCGAAGCUGGGUGACAGCACUGUGCUGCUGUUGGGUCAUCUUCUGUUCUGGGUGGGGUGCUGAGUGUGGUGUCAUGUAGUGCUUGGUGGUCUGGGGAGCCGGCAGUCCCCGUCAGACCAAAAAAACGCUAAAAAGAAACACAUUAGUCGUGAAUGAAAACCAUGUAUGAACAUGACCACAUGGGGAAAGGGGGGUGCAGAUGUUACAGAAACCCAAAUCAGAGAGCUCCUUGUGCCUCGAGAGCACUCACUUGUGUCCUGGAUGACUUCAUAACUACAGGAAACAGGUAUUUGAGGUUCUGCUCUGUUCCGUAAACUUCCCUGACUUUAUACUUAAGCUUCCCUGAUUUUACUAGAGUUGCAAAGUCCUUGGAAAACUUUG